UGGGGAAUAUUGGACAAUGGGGGCAACCCUGAUCCAGCGAUGCCGCGUGUGCGAAGAAGGCCUGCGGGUUGUAAAGCACUUUGGUUGGGGAAGAAGGUUGGGCGUUGAAUAGAUGCCUGAAUUGACGUUACCCAAAGAACAAGCACCGGCUAACUCUGUGCCAGCAGCCGCGGUAAUACAGAGGGUGCGAGCGUUAAUCGGAAUUACUGGGCGUAAAGGGUGCGUAGGCGGUUAAAUAAGUUAGAUGUGAAAUCCCCGGGCUUAACCUGGGAAUUGCAUUUAAUACUGUAUGACUAGAGUAGAGUAGAGGGAAGUGGAAUUUCCGGUGUAGCGGUGAAAUGCGUAGAUAUACGGAAGGAACACCAGUGGCGAAGGCGAC
rnacentral:rRNA from 1 species